CAAGUGGAGACGGCACUCUAUCUGUUAGUAAUCUGCGAAGUAACAAGGUUCAAACACAAUCAGAAUUUUCUGAAGAUGAGCCGCUGUCAAUAGUGAUAAUGAAGAACGGGCGAAAAGUUAUAUGUGGGACUGAAAGUGGAACUAUGUUAUUAUACUCUUGGGGAUUUUUC